rnacentral:lncRNA from 1 species
UGGAUCCUACAUAUGAUUAUGGAUCCAGCACUUAAAGUUUCCACAUCCAACACAAACAAUGCAAUCAAAGGCACUUAUUAGAAGUGGCCAAAUGAUCGUAUCACCAUGUGAUAUUUUUGAGAGCAACGAAGAAUAUGAAUUUAGUUGUAAAUUCGAUGAUGCUUAGUGGGAGAAAAUCUUUCAAAUGUUGAAGAAGUUCUUUUUGCACCUUUGAAGAUGUGUCUUCAGUGAGAC